rnacentral:rRNA from 1 species
UACGUAGGCAGCAAGCGUUGUUCGGAGUUACUGGGCGUAAAGGGUGUGUAGGCGGUUGUUUAAGUUUGGUGUGAAAUCUCCCGGCUCAACUGGGAGGGUGCGCCGAAUACUGAAUGACUAGAGUGCGGGAGAGGAAAGCGGAAUUCCUGGUGUAGCGGUGAAAUGCGUAGAUAUCAGGAGGAACACCGGCGGUGUAGACGGCUCUCUGGACCGUAACUGACGCUGAGAUACGAAAGCGUGGGUAGCAAACAGG